GCAUCUAGAUUAGAGUUUGAUCCUGGCUCAGAUUGAACGCUGGCGGCAGGCCUAACACAUGCAAGUCGAACGGUAACAGGAAACAGCUUGCUGUUUCGCUGACGAGUGGCGGACGGGUGAGUAAUGUCUGGGAAACUGCCUGAUGGAGGGGGAUAACUACUGGAAACGGUAGCUAAUACCGCAUAACGUCGCAAGACCAAAGAGGGGGACCUUCGGGCCUCUUGCCAUCAGAUGUGCCCAGAUGAGAUUAGCUAGUAGGUGGGGUAACGGCUCACCUAGGCGACGAUCCCUAGCUGGUCUGAGAGGAUGACCAGCCACACUGGAACUGAGACACGGUCCAGACUCCUACGGGAGGCAGCAGUGGGGAAUAUUGCACAAUGGGCGCAAGCCUGAUGCAGCCAUGCCGCGUGUAUGAAGAAGGCCUUCGGGUUGUAAAGUACUUUCAGCGGGGAGGAAGGGAGUAAAGUUAAUACCUUUGCUCAUUGACGUUACCCGCAGAAGAAGCACCGGCUAACUCCGUGCCAGCAGCCGCGGUAAUACGGAGGGUGCAAGCGUUAAUCGGAAUUACUGGGCGUAAAGCGCACGCAGGCGGUUUGUUAAGUCAGAUGUGAAAUCCCCGGGCUCAACCUGGGAACUGCAUCUGAUACUGGCAAGCUUGAGUCUCGUAGAGGGGGGUAGAAUUCCAGGUGUAGCGGUGAAAUGCGUAGAGAUCUGGAGGAAUACCGGUAGCGAAGGCGGCCCCCUGGACGAAGACUGACGCUCAGGUGCGAAAGCGUGGGGAGCAAACAGGAUUAGAUACCCUGGUAGUCCACGCCGUAAACGAUGUCGACUUGGAGGUUGUGCCCUUGAGGCGUGGCUUCCGGAGCUAACGCGUUAAGUCGACCGCCUGGGGAGUACGGCCGCAAGGUUAAAACUCAAAUGAAUUGACGGGGGCCCGCACAAGCGGUGGAGCAUGUGGUUUAAUUCGAUGCAACGCGAAGAACCUUACCUGGUCUUGACAUCCACGGAAGUUUUCAGAGAUGAGAAUGUGCCUUCGGGAACCGUGAGACAGGUGCUGCAUGGCUGUCGUCAGCUCGUGUUGUGAAAUGUUGGGUUAAGUCCCGCAACGAGCGCAACCCUUAUCCUUUGUUGCCAGCGGUCCGGCCGGGAACUCAAAGGAGACUGCCAGUGAUAAACUGGAGGAAGGUGGGGAUGACGUCAAGUCAUCAUGGCCCUUACGACCAGGGCUACACACGUGCUACAAUGGCGCAUACAAAGAGAAGCGACCUCGCGAGAGCAAGCGGACCUCAUAAAGUGCGUCGUAGUCCGGAUUGGAGUCUGCAACUCGACUCCAUGAAGUCGGAAUCGCUAGUAAUCGUGGAUCAGAAUGCCACGGUGAAUACGUUCCCGGGCCUUGUACACACCGCCCGUCACACCAUGGGAGUGGGUUGCAAAAGAAGUAGGUAGCUUAACCUUCGGGAGGGCGCUUACCACUUUGUGAUUCAUGACUGGGGUGAAGUCGUAACAAGGUAACCGUAGGGGAACCUGCGGGUGGAUCACCUCCUUAA
rnacentral:rRNA from 1 species